CUACGGGAGGCAGCAGUGGGGAAUAUUGGACAAUGGGGGAAACCCUGAUCCAGCCAUGCCGCGUGUGUGAAGAAGGCCUUUUGGUUGUAAAGCACUUUAAGCAGUGAAGAAGACUCUUCGGUUAAUACCCGGAGACGAUGACAUUAGCUGCAGAAUAAGCACCGGCUAACUCUGUGCCAGCAGCCGCGGUAAUACAGAGGGUGCAAGCGUUAAUCGGAAUUACUGGGCGUAAAGCGAGCGUAGGUGGCUUGAUAAGUCAGAUGUGAAAUCCCCGGGCUUAACCUGGGAACUGCAUCUGAAACUGUUAGGCUAGAGUAGGUGAGAGGGAAGUAGAAUUUCAGGUGUAGCGGUGAAAUGCGUAGAGAUCUGAAGGAAUACCGAUGGCGAAGGCAGCUUCCUGGCAUCAUACUGACACUGAGGCUCGAAAGCGUGGGUAGCAAACAGGAUUAGAUACCCUGGUAGU
rnacentral:rRNA from 13 species